rnacentral:rRNA from 1 species
AGCAGCCGCGGUAAUUCCAGCUCCAAUAGCGUAUAUUAAAGUUGUUGCAGUUAAAAAGCUCAUAGUUGAAUUUCGGGAUCAGUACGCUGGUCGUGCCUUCGGUAUGCGCUGGUUUCACUGAUUCCUCCCUUCUGAAGAGCCGUAAUGCCAUUCAGUUGGUGUGGCGGGGAAUCAGGAUUGUUACUUUGAAAAAUUAGAGUGUUUAAAGCAGGCUCGCGCUUGAAUACAUUAGCAUGGAAUAAUGAAAUAGGACGUUUGAUCCUAUUUUGUUGGUUUCUAGGAUCGACGUAAUGAUUAAUAGGGAUAGUUGGGGGCAUUAGUAUUCAAUUGUCAGAGGUGAAAUUCUUGGAUUUAUUGAAGACUAACUACUGCGAAAGCAUUUGCCAAGGAUGUUUUCAUUAAUCAAGAACGAAAGUUAGGGGAUCGAAGACGAUCAGAUACCGUCGUAGUCUUAACCAUAAACUAU